UACGUAGGGCGCGAGCGUUGUCCGGAAUUAUUGGGCGUAAAGAGCUCGUAGGCGGUUUGUUGCGUCGGAUGUGAAAGCCCGGGGCUUAACCCCGGGUCUGCAUUCGAUACGGGCAGACUGGAGUGUGGUAGGGGAGAUCGGAAUUCCUGGUGUAGCGGUGAAAUGCGCAGAUAUCAGGAGGAACACCGGUGGCGAAGGCGGAUCUCUGGGCCGAUACUGACGCUGAGGAGCGAAAGCGUGGGGAGCGAACAGG
rnacentral:rRNA from 1 species